UCUGUAAGGCUUCUUAUUUAGAAUUAUAAAUAACAAUCCUGGCAUUUCCCAAUGUUUAAUUUCCUUGCCUUAUUAUAUAAGACAGUGUGAAUUUUCAGCUUAGGAAGCUGACUUAUGGUGGGCUGUGGGUUCCCUUCUCUGGAAAGAUUUUCGAUUUGAGUGGAAACACAGUGUAGACUUCAGGCUUCAGCUUAUUCAUCUAAAAAAUGUGGGACUUUCCCCCCAGUUGACUUUUACAGUUCAUCUGUAUGACCUACAUUCUUCAGGUGCUCUUAUUUGUUUGUUUGUUUCUUUUCUGGUUGUUCAUCAAAGUUUCUGAGCAGUGUAUCUCAUUUUACAAAUCUCUCCCCUCUUAAGUCAUAGUAAUAUAAGCUUUUCUCCUGCUAUGUGAGGUGAUCUGUGAAUCUCACUUAAAAAUCUCACCUAUUUCUCUGAGGUUGAGAGUGCUGGUGUGACAUGGGAAAGAAGGACUUGAAGAACUUCCCUGAAUAUCACGGUCCUUUUGUGAGUUUCUUCCUUACCUAUAUACCUGAAAUUAUUAAUUAAGCCUGGCACUGCAUAAAAUCCCUGGUUUGUGGUAGUCAUUUGGAAAUCUGUUCCUUUGUAAUAGCUUGCCAUAUUAAGAAGCCAACUAUCACUAUUAUAGCAUUUAUUAUUGUCUGUCCUUUCUCAUUUUCCCAUAGUAAUCUCUGAGACCAGACACUUUGCUAUGUUUACUGCAUAGCUGUAGUGCCUUGAACAUUCCAGGACAGUGCCAGAAAUAUUUGACUAAUGGUCAGUAAAUGCCUACUGAAUGAAUAUGAAAGAAGCCUUCCUUUUUACUUAUGAGGGCAGACUUGGGAAGCACCAUAUGCUAUGAUUCCUUGGCUAUCACUAUAACUGGUCUGAGAUUCCUGGAUACACCACUCCUGACUCAAGGCCUGGAAUCUUGGGACAUUUCAGUCUUAUGAUCCACCA
rnacentral:lncRNA from 1 species